UAAGGUCUACAUAUCAAUAGUGUGGUCACC
rnacentral:piRNA from 1 species